GAUGAACGCUGACAGAAUGCUUAACACAUGCAAGUCUACUUGAUCCUUCGGGUGAUGGUGGCGGACGGGUGAGUAACGCGUAAAGAACUUGCCUUGCAGUCUGGGACAACGUCUGGAAACGGACGCUAAUACCGGAUAUUAUGAUUAGAUCGCAUGAAUUAAUUAUGAAAGCUAUAUGCGCUGCGAGAGAGCUUUGCGUCCCAUUAGUUAGUUGGUGAGGUAACGGCUCACCAAGACGAUGAUGGGUAGCCGGUCUGAGAGGGUGAACGGCCACAAGGGGACUGAGACACGGCCCUUACUCCUACGGGAGGCAGCAGUGGGGAAUAUUGGACAAUGGACCAAAAGUCUGAUCCAGCAAUUCUGUGUGCACGAUGAAGUUUUUCGGAAUGUAAAGUGCUUUCAGUUGGGAAGAAGAAAGUGACGGUACCAACAGAAGAAGCGACGGCUAAAUACGUGCCAGCAGCCGCAGUAA
rnacentral:rRNA from 1 species